rnacentral:rRNA from 1 species
UGAGUAACACGUAUCCAACCUGCCGUCUACUCUUGGACAGCCUUCUGAAAGGAAGAUUAAUACAAGAUGGCAUCAUGAGUCCGCAUGUUCACAUGAUUAAAGGUAUUCCGGUAGACGAUGGGGAUGCGUUCCAUUAGAUAGUGGGCGGGGUAACGGCCCACCUAGUCUUCGAUGGAUAGGGGUUCUGAGAGGAAGGUCCCCCACAUUGGAACUGAGACACGGUCCAA